rnacentral:rRNA from 1 species
CGGGCCUUAACCAUGCAGUCGAACGAUGACCCGGUGCUUGCACCGGUGAUUAGUGGCGAACGGGUGAGUACACGUGAGUAACCUGCCCUUGACUCUGGGAUAAGCCUGGGAAACUGGGUCUAAUACCGGAUAUGACUCCUCAUCGCAUGGUGGGGGGUGGAAAGCUUUUGUGGUUUUGGAUGGACUCGCGGCCUAUCAGCUUGUUGGUGAGGUAAUGGCUCACCAAGGCGACGACGGGUAGCCGGCCUGAGAGGGUGACCGGCCACACUGGGACUGAGACACGGCCCAGACUCCUACGGGAGGCAGCAGUGGGGAAUAUUGCACAAUGGGCGAAAGCCUGAUGCAGCGACGCCGCGUGAGGGAUGACGGCCUUCGGGUUGUAAACCUCUUUCAGUAGGGAAGAAGCGAAAGUGACGGUACCUGCAGAAGAAGCGCCGGCUAACUACGUGCCAGCAGCCGCGGUAAUACGUGGGCGCAAGCGUUAUCCGGAAUUAUUGGGCGUAAAGAGCUGUAGGCGGUUUGUCGCGUCUGCCGUGAAAGUCCGGGGUACUCCGGAUCUGCGGUGGGUCGGGCAGACUAAUGUGUAGGGAAUGGAAUUCUCUGGUGUACGAAUGCGAAUUUCAGGGAGAACACCGUGGAAGGAGGUCUCGGGGCAUUACUGACGCUAGAGAAAGCUGGGGACAAACGAUUAAAUACCCUGGAUCAUGCCGUAACGGUGGCUAGGGUGUGGAGAUUCACUUUCGCCGUGUAACGAUUAGGCCCCCCGGGAACGCCAGUUAAC